ensembl:lncRNA
GAGGGCUCUUUUUAAAAUUGCGUUUUACUGGCCCAGCGGUGACUUAGCGUGGCCUUGGUCUCGGGUGUACAGCAGCGUGACGCGGUUACACACGCGCACACCCCGUCCGCUUCAGGCUCUUCCCCGCACGGAUCACUGCAGACACGGCGCGGGGUCCGGGUCUCUAGGCGGCUCCUCGGGCCCCAUCCCCUCCGCCGGAGCCGUGCGCACCCCAUUUUCAGCCUCUCCCAGCCUUUUCCCUUGGGUAACCCUAAGCUUGGUUUCGAAAUCUUUGAGUCUGAUUCCGUUUUGUUAACAAGUACCCCUGUAUCAUUCUUUAUUAGAUCCCACGUAUUUAUGACCCAAAAGGCUCUGUUUUCAGAACAUCCAAGGCUGAAAUGGCCCCGGGGCACCAGACGGCCGGCUGGGGCGAGGAUCCGGUCCGUUCACGUCGCUGCAGUGCGCCAGCAGCCCCGCAGGUGGCGCCAGCGGCACUCCUUUCGCCCCGGGAGUCAGGACGCGGCGGCGAGGGAGCCGCUUUGCGGAGAAGGCGUGUGCGCGGUCCUAGGCCGUCCCUCUCCCGGCGGCUCGCUGGUUGUGAGCGAGAAGUGUAUGUAUGCAUAGUUAGGGGCGAAUCCUCGACUAGUAAACUUCUUGACGAUGUGGUCCAAAUAACGGCACCAGUGAGCAGCAGAUGGACAAACUGUGCGUCCAGAAGUGAUGCCCUUGAGAAGGACACACAUCGUGCACCCAGUGUCACAGUCCAGUCUAAAGACGGGGAAACGGCAGACAAACCCCAAAUGAGAACUGUCGUAUUAAAGUCGGGGGAUAGGGGACUGGAUUCUUUAAAAGUGUCCAUGUCGCUAACGGCAGAAAACUAGGGAAAUGUUCCAUAGAAAAGAGGCUAAGGAGACAUGAAAACCAAGUGCAAAACCCGGGGCUAGACUGGGUCCCCAAAUGCAGGGGGGGAGCCUCAGGGACAUGGUUAGGUCAGCUGACCCGACUGGAACAUGGGCAGGAGGCUGCAGUAUUGCAUCGAUGUUACAUACACCGCAGCUGAUAACUGCUGUGACUAGAUAGCAAGUUAUUCUUAUUUUAUAGAAUAUGCUCUGGUGCGUUUAGGAAUAAAAGACCCUGGUGUGUAUGACUUACCUUCAAGUUGGGCACAAACUGUGUUUUUUUCUAAUUAAAUAUGUAAAAAUAUGUUCUAAUAGAAAAUCUAUGUACAUUUAUUGUAAUUUUCACUAUAUAUUGAUAUAUUUAAUUAGAAAAUACAUAUAUAUGUAUUUGAUACAAAUAAAGCAGAUGGAGUAAAAUCUUAGGUGAAUCAGGUAAAGAGGCUAUAUGGGUCUUCUUUCUGCUAUUUUUAUUUUUGCAAAUUUUCUUUAAGUUUGAAAUUAUUUCCAAAUGAAUAUUUAGGAAGAAAAAAAUGGUUUAAAGAAUGACGACUGGAGUUCCUGUCAUGGCUCAGCGGUAAUGAACCUGACUAGCAUCCAUGAGGACGCAGGUUCGAUCCCUAGUCUCGCUCAGUGGGUUAAGGAUCCGGCGUUGCCGUGAGCUGUGGUGUAGGUCGAAGAUACAGCUCAGGUCCUGCCUUGCUGUGGCUGUGGUGUAGGCCAGCAGCUGUCGCUCCAAUUCGACCUCUAGCCUGGGAACCUCCAUAUACUGAGGGUGUGGCCCUAAAAAACCAAAAUAAAAAUAAAAAUAAUGAUGGUUCCAGGACCUUCUCCCCCCCCCCCGCUUCACUUCUGCAGCAGUUCAGAGCUGGUCUCCUGCCUUAUGUGUGUGUGUCUUCUGCUGUCCCUUUGCUUCAGUCUCUUCUGAAAGGACGAUGCUUUGGUUUCCGGGCUCUGAGGCCGAGACCUAAACUGGAGAAGGUGGAAUUAGCAUUGUUCGUGGCUGGAAAAAGGGACCGAAGCCUCCGUAAGGGGAUACGGAGAGCUCUGUGUCCAGCCUCCAUCCCGGCUCCGGCCUCAGGAGCUGAGCGGAUCUGUGGUGUCAGCCUGCUGCCAGCCGUCCGGCUUGGGCCAGGUGUCCCCUGGGACCCUAAAGAGGCAUCUGGUGUCCAAGAGCCCAGCUGGGCUGGCUGUGCCAGAGCCACCUUGGCAGAAUGGGGACUUCAUUAUCCUUUCGUUCUGCCUGCAGCUUCCUGGAAGUGACACUAUCCAGGAGCCUGACAUCUGCACACCCUCGUGCCCUCGGGAGUCCUUCCGCUGUUCCAGUGACUCACGUUGCAUUAAAUCAGCCGAACUGGCUGACAGCUUUGGUCAGGAAACCUGGACGCCCCUUGGCGGGAACGGCCGUCUUGCACUCGCAGCAGCACGUCGCAGGGAAGCGAGGCAGUCCCGCCCUGUGGUCAGGGGCACAGACUCUGGACCCGGAGCGCCCUGCACAGGACCCACGUUCCCAGCUGUGUGAUCGUGGGCCAGUCGCUCUAGCCCCCUGGACCACUGUUUCUUGGUAAAGUGAGGAUAAUAACAAUGCUUCUGUCAUGGAGCCGACGUGAGCACUGAUGCAGUUGAGAUACAGAAAGCGUUUGAAACAGCGAGUUAGUAGGACCUGUAUUUUAUGGAAACCAAGACACACAUAGAGCCCUUCACGAAGGUCUCAGCAGGAUAUGCAUACGCGUGCCGGGAGUGCUACCUGGCUGAAAACCAUAGUAACGUGAUCAGUGAUAAGAUGCAACCCAAUUUCAGAAAAGUUCAAAAGGUGAAAAAGUGGGUUUUAGAAUCCAUGGACUACAGAACAUUAUUUUAUUGCUUUUACUUUGUUUUUAAAAUUGAGGUAUAUUUCAUACACCCGAUAUUUCCUCUGUUCACGUCUGCUACCCAGUGAUUUUUAGUUUAUUCACAAGGCUGUUUAACCAUCACCACUGUCUCAUUUUAGAAUAUUUUUAUCACCGCCAGAAGAAACUCGAAAACUGUUAAGAGUCUCUUCCCAUUCCCUCUUCUCCCCAGUUCCUAGCAACUACCAGGCCACGUUCUCUCUGUACAGAUUUGCCUGUUCAGGACAUGCGCUCUGCAUGAAAUUACAUGACAUACAGCUUUUUGCGUCUGCCUUCUUUCAUUUAGCAUGAUGUUUUCAAGCUUGGCCCAUGCCGUAGCAGGUAGCAGCCCCUCAUUCUCGUUUGGAGCCAAAUGCAGUUCCGCCGCGUGGAGGUGGAGGUGCCAUCUGUGGUUUCUCCAUUCCUCGUGUAAUGCCAUUUGGCUUGCUUCCGUUUUUGGCUGAUGUGAAUAAUGCUUCUGUGAGCAUUUGUGUGUGGGUUUUGUGUGGACAUGUGAUUUCAGUUCUCUUGGGUGUAUAUCCAGCAGUGGUCAUGUGAUUACUCUAUGUUUCAUUGCUUGAUGACCCGCAAGACAAUCGUCCGAGGCAGCUGUACCAUUUUUCAUCCCCACCAGCAGUGUCCGAAGGUGCCAGUUUUCCGCCUCAUCACCAGCGUUUGUUAUAAGGUUAUAGCCACUCUAGUGGGUGUGAAGUGGUACCCUAUUAUGGUUUUGAUUUGUGGUGCCCUAAUGACAAAUGGGGUUGCGCAUCUUUUUAUGUGCUUAUGGGCCAUAUUGUUAUCGUCUUUAGAAAAAUGUCUUAUCCAGUCCUUCGCCCAUUUUUAUAUUGGGUUGUCUUUUUCCUGUUGAGGUCUAGGAGUUUUUCGUCUAUUUUAGAUACUGACUCUCACCGUUUAUAAGACUGGCACAUACUUCCUCUCAUUCUGAGAGUGUCUUCAUUUUCCUGAUAGCGUCUUUGAAGCACAGAAGCUGUAAUUUGAUGAAGUCCAGUUGGUCUGCUUUUUCUUUGGUUGCUUUUGCUUCAGACACCGCGUCUAAGCAACCAUUGCCUGCCCCACGGUCAUGAAGAUGUAUAACCGUGUUUUUUCGAAGGUUUUAGCUCCUACGUUUAGGUCUUUGGUCCACUUUGAGUUAACUCUGGUUGAUGGUGUGAGGUCCAAGUUCGCAUUCCUGCUCCUGCAAGUGGGUGUCCAGUUUUCCCAGCAUCAUUUGCUGAAGACGAUUCUUUCCCCAUUGAAUUGUCUUGGUACCCUUGUCAACUGCUCGGUGACGCAUGGAUUUACUUCUGGGCCCUCAGUUCUGUCCUGCUGUUCUGAGGGUCUAUCCUCAUGCUCGUACAGCAGUCUUUGUCGCUGUAGCUUUGUCAUAAGUCUCGAAACCAGCAAGUGUGAGUUCUUCAACUUAGUUCUCCUUUUCAAGGUUGUUUCGGAGUCCCUGCUGUGGCUCAGCAGGUUACGAACCCAACUAGUAUCCAUGAAGAUUCAGGUUCGAUCCCUGGCCUCGCUCAGUGGGUUAAGGAUUCUGCAGUACUGUGGCUGUGGCAUAGGCCAGCUAUAGCUCCUAUUCGGCCCCUAGCCUGGGAACUUCCAUAUGCCUCAAGUUUGGCCCUAAAAAGCACACACACACACACACACAAAUUGAGGCAAAACAUGAAUUUGGGAUCAGAUGGUCAGUUUCUACAAAGAAGUCAGCUAAGAUUUUGAUAAGAACUGCAGUAAUUUGUAGAUCAACUGGAGGAAUCGUGCCGUCCAAGCAGCUUUAAGUCUCCUGUCUGUGAACCGUUAAUUUGGCUUUGGUGUGCACUGGCUUCAUCUGACAGGUAGGCAGGGCCUGACGUGUGCAGUUGGUCAGGAAAACUGAGUUAACUGCCAGAUGCCGAUCUGAUUUUGAGCUGAGGGGAUAAGGCACAGUCUUACUUUUGUCAAGGUGGGAGAAAAACGGAAAGACCGAAUAGGUUGGUAGAGCCCACCGGGCAUCAAAGACCUCAUUAUCAUAAAAGUUACAUUUUACAUAAUACAAGGUAUGUCCCCCCACUUAAGACAUCUUAAUAUAACACAUAUUGAUUCUUAAAUCUCUGAAUUUAUCUUACAGGACAGAAAAAUUAUGGAGUGACUUUUUGUGGUGUAGAGUCUUUUGAAAGUCUUUUGAAUAAUAGAGAGAAAUAACAAUUAAUGUGUAAACCAACUGCUUCUCGACUUAAGAAAACUAAAGUCCGCCUCU